UCCGUAGGUGAACCUGCGGAGGGAUCAUUACACAAUAUGAAAGCGGGCUGGAUACUCUGUAGUAGUGCAUUGCUUUACGGCGUGCGCUGCUGGAGAGCCUAGCCUUGCUGAAUUAUUUACCCGUGUCUUUUGCGUACUUCUUGUUUCCUUGGUGGGCUCGCCCGCCACAAGGACAACUCAUAAACCUUUUGUAAUAGCAAUCAGCGUCAGUAACAACAUAAUAAUUACAACUUUCAACAACGGAUCUCUUGGUUCUGGCAUCGAUGAAGAACGCAGCGAAAUGCGAUACGUAGUGUGAAUUGCAGAAUUCAGUGAAUCAUCGAAUCUUUGAACGCACAUUGCGCCCUUUGGUAUUCCAUGGGGCAUGCCUGUUCGAGCGUCAUUUGUACCCUCAAGCUCUGCUUGGUAUUGGGUGUUUGUCCCGCCUUUGCGUGUAGACUCGCCUUAAAAUGAUUGGCAGCCGGCGUAUUGAUUUCGGAGCGCAGUACAUCUCGCGCUUUGUAUUCAUAACGGCGGCAUCCAAAAGUACAUUUAACACUCUUGGACCUCGGGGAUCCAGGGGGGUAGGGGGGGAUACCCGGCUGGAACUUAAGGCAUAUCAAUAAGGCGGGGAGGGGAAGGUCGGACU
rnacentral:rRNA from 1 species